GCUUUUGGUUCAGUGGUAGAAUGCUCGCCUGCCACGCGGGAGUUCGAUUCCCGGCCGAUGCA
rnacentral:tRNA from 1 species